UCUCUGUUAGUCUAGUGGAAAUAUGUCAGCUCGUGGUGCUGAAGACGGGGGUUCGAUUCUCGUAGAGUGGA